UUGCCUACGGGGCGCAGCAGUGAGGAAUAUUGGUCAAUGGGCGGUAGCCUGAACCAGCCAAGUAGCGUGAAGGAUGAAGGUUCUAUGGAUUGUAAACUUCUUUUAUAAAGGAAUAAAGUGAGGCACGUGUGCCUUUUUGUAUGUACUUUAUGAAUAAGGAUCGGCUAACUCCGUGCCAGCAGCCGCGGCAAUACGGAGGAUGCGAGCGUUAUCCGGAUUUAUUGGGUUUAAAGGGUGCGCAGGCGGAAGAUCAAGUCAGCGGUAAAAUUGAGAGGCUCAACCUCUUCGAGCCGUUGAAACUGGUU
rnacentral:rRNA from 1 species